rnacentral:misc_RNA from 1 species
GGCAACGACCUCGCAGCGGAACGAUGUCGGCAGCAAAGCGGUCUGACAUCCGGGCAUCGCGUUCCUGAGAGAGUACGGGGCCCAGCCCCGUGAGCGGAAUUUUCCAUGUUCGACAUCGGGUGGAGUGAACUGGUCGUCAUCGGCGUCGUGGCGCUGAUCGCCAUCGGCCCGAAAGAACUGCCCGGCGUGCUGCGCAUGGUCGGGCAGUGGAUGGGGAAGGCGCGCCGCAUGGCCGCCGAAUUCCAGGGCCAGUU